UAGGGAAUAUUGGACAAUGGGGGCAACCCUGAUCCAGCCAUGCCGCGUGAGUGAAGAAGGCCCUCGGGUUGUAAAGCUCUUUUGUCCGGAAAGAAAAGCAUUCGGUGAAUACCCGGAUGUUCUGACGGUACCGGAAGAAUAAGCACCGGCUAACUUCGUGCCAGCAGCCGCGGUAAUACGAAGGGUGCAAGCGUUACUCGGAAUUACUGGGCGUAAAGCGUGCGUAGGUGGUUGUUUAAGUCUGAUGUGAAAGCCCUGGGCUCAACCUGGGAAUGGCAUUGGAAACUGGGCAGCUAGAGUGCGGUAGAGGGUAGUGGAAUUCCCGGUGUAGCAGUGAAAUGCGUAGAGAUCGGGAGGAACAUCUGUGGCGAAGGCGACAGCCUGGACCAGCACUGACACUGAGGCACGAAAGCGUGGGGAGCAAACA
rnacentral:rRNA from 1 species